rnacentral:rRNA from 1 species
UAAAAUAAUUAAGGGCACACAAAGGAUGCCUAGGUAGUAAGAGCCGAUGAAGGACGUGGUAAGCUGCGAUAAGCCUAGAUAAGUUGCAAUCGAACGUAAGAGUCUAGGAUUUCCGAAUGGAGCAAUCUAUUAAGAUGGAGUCUUAAUACGAAAGAGGGAACCGCGUGAACUGAAACAUCUAAGUAACGCGAGGAAAAGAAAGUAAAAACGAUACCCAAAGUAGCGGCGAGCGAAAUGGGUCAAGCCUAAACCUUAAAUAUGUCAAGGAUACAGCCGUUGUAUUUAAGGGGUUGAGGGACAAAGUAGUGAAGAACUGUAAGAUAUUCAAUAUAGUGUAUUGAUGAAUUAGAAUUGUAUGGAAAGAUAAACCGCAGAAGGUGAGAGUCCUGUAUAAGUAAAUCCUUACACAUAUAACUUUGCUCCCAAGUAACAUGGAACACGAGGAAUUCUGUGUGAAUCAGUGAGGACCAUAUCUCAUAAGGCUAAAUACUCUUACUAACCGAUAGCGCAUAGUACCGUGAGGGAAAGGUGAAAAGAACCCCUGGAGGGGAGUGAAAUAGAACCUGAAAUUGUGUGCUUACAAGCGGUCAGAGCCCAUUUGGGUGAUGGCGUGCCUUUUGGAGAAUGAUCCUGCGAGUUACGUUAAACGGCGAGGUUAAGUAUAACGGAGCCGAAGGGAAACCAAGUCUUAAUAGGGCGAUUUAGUCGUUUGGCGUAGACGCGAAACCUGGUGAUCUAAACCUGUCCAGGAUGAAGCUGUGGUAAGACACAGUGGAGGUCCUAACCCACCGCCGUUGAAAAGUUGGGGGAUGAGGUAGGUUUAGGGGUGAAAAGCCAAUCGAACCAGGAGAUAGCUCGUUCUCUCCGAAAUGCAUCUAGGUGCAGCCUUGAGUGUUCAAUUAUGGGGGUAGAGCACUGAAUGAUCUAGGGGGCAUAUUGCUUACUGAAAUCAAUCAAACUCCGAAUACCAUAAUUUAUAGCUCAGGAGUGAGACUAUGGGAGUUAACUUCCAUUGUCAAAAGGGAAACAACCCAGACCACCAGCUAAGGUCCCUAAUUAUAACUAAGUGGGAAAGGAGGUGGAGAUUCACAAACAACUAGGAGGUUGGCUUAGAAGCAGCCAUACCUUUAAAGAGUGCGUAAUAGCUCACUAGUCGAGAGUCUCUGCGCCGACAAUGUAACGGGGCUAAGUUAUAAACCGAAGCUGUGGAAUCCUUAUGGAUUGGUAGGAGAGCGUUCUGUAGGCCGUUGAAGAAGAAGGGUAACCGACUUUGGAGGUAUCAGAAGUGAGAAUGCAGGAAUAAGUAGCGAGAAAGGGGGCGAGAAUCCCCCUCGCCGGAAGACCAAGGUUUUCAGGGUAAAGCUUGUCUUCCCUGAGUAAGCCGGGACCUAAGCCCAGGCUAUAAUGCGUAGGCGAAUGGAAAACAGAUUAAUAUUUCUGUGCCAGUCAUUUAUUGUGAUGGAGGGACGCAGAAGGGUAUGCGCGCGGACGAACGGAAGUGUCCGUAGAAGUAUGUAGGGUGACUUAGUAGGUAAAUCCAUUAAGUUAUAUCUGAGGUAUGAUAUACAGUCGUAAGAUGAAUGUGCAAAUCCCACGCUGCCAAGAAAAGCUUCUAACGUUAAUAUAUGACUGCCCGUACUGUAAACCGACACAGGUGGUCAGGAUGAGAAAUCUAAGGCGGACAGGCUAACUCUCGUUAAGGAACUCUGCAAAAUAACCUCGUAACUUCGGGAGAAGAGGAGCCCUUGUGUGUGAGUAUACACGCGAUACAAAGCGCACGAGGGUCGCAGUGAAGAGGCUCAAGCAACUGUUUAACAAAAACACAGGUCUAUGCUAAGCUGGAAGGCGAUGUAUAUGGGCUGACACCUGCCCAGUGCUGGAAGGUUAAGAGGAGGAGUGAGAGCUCCGAAUUGAAGCCCCAGUGAACGGCGGCCGUAACUAUAACGGUCCUAAGGUAGCGAAAUUCCUUGUCGGGUAAG